CUUCACUCUACCACAUCCGGGUCUUUCAUUUCCUCCCUCCGGGUUCCGCGUUUCCCUGUCCGGGUUGGGCCGAGGCCCCGCCCCCGUGGCCGUUGGCCCCGCGUGAGACGGAGCGGGGGGGGCUGUAGUGUGGGGGCUCUCGGGAGCUGAGUGCGGGAAGGGGCCGGAAAGUUGAAGCAGCAUCUUUGUGGGAUAUGUACAGCAGACAGCCUGCCAAGCACUGCCACACAGAUCCUCAGUUGGGUUUCCAGGUGGUCUUUACAUUAGUGUUACUCAUUCCAAGCCCUUGAUUGCUCGUCCUGCAUUUGGAUACCCAUCCUGCAUUGUGUUCACUUUCCCAGCAGCCCACAAACAGCAGGUUCCACC
rnacentral:lncRNA from 1 species